GGCAUUCUAUUAUUUACCUCGUUAGUCUACUUUCAAGACUUUUAGAGUGCCUUUCUCUCUGAAUGACCAACUUUCGAAACGAGUUAGUUUAAUUCCUUUCCCCAGUUCAUUCAAAUAGGAUAUUUUCAAGGAGCGAAGUCAGUUUACUUGAAUUGGCAUCACUGUUAACCGAGAUGAAUGGAUGAUUGACGUAUAUCUUUGGAGACAUCUAACGAGCAAUCUAAAAAUUCGAACAAUUCCAGACAAGAUUAUAAUCCCCAUCACUUGACAGAACUUGAUGGAAUGAAUAUAAAAAAACAUUGUAAAUGACCUUGGAAGAUUAACAAUUUUUCAUUAUGGGUGGUUCAAACAGAGCUUAGAUGGACAGCCCCACAGGUGAGGGUCACUGGGGACGAGGAUGUACCCAAUUAGCUAGCAUUUUUGGCCAUCUUAUACCUCUAGAAUUGAUACAAGUGUCUGUAUGGAGAUAAUGACUAUUAGGGAAAGCUUGGUACGGUUUUAGUGAUACACAUCAGCUUAAACCCCAGAUUUGUAGACAUGUAAUGAAGACUAAUUAUUUUUGUACAAACAAUCAAAAACGUGUUUAUUUCUUCUGCGAAAGAACAAUCAGUGACCAAGGCGUUGCAAAUCUGAGACAAAGAUCAACUUGAGAAAAGAGGGUAGGGGAACUGAAAAUAUGAGGAUGCUUCGGACUGGCGAUUACUAUAGUGACAAAAGAAAUCAUAGACUGAACAAAAAGAAGAAAUAAUUGUAAUCAGAGAUGAGAAUGGGAACUGAAAAA